GACGAACGCUGGCGGCGUGCUUAACACAUGCAAGUCGAACGGAAAGGCCCUGCUUUUUUGGGGUGCUCGAGUGGCGAUCGGGUGAGUAACACGUGAGUAACCUGCCCUUGAUUUUGGGAUAACUUCAGGAAACUGGGGCUAAUCCCGGAUAGGAGAUCCUGCUGCAUGGUGGGGGUUGGAAAGUUUCGGCGGUUGGGGAUGGACUCGCGGCUUAUCAGCUUGUUGGUGGGGUAGUGGCUUACCAAGGCUUUGACGGGUAGCCGGCCUGAGAGGGUGACCGGCCACAUUGGGACUGAGGUACGGCCCAGACUCCUACGGUAGGCAGCAGUGGGGAAUAUUGCACAAUGGGCGGAAGCCUGAUGCAGCAACGCCGCGUGCGGGAUGACGGCCUGCGGGUUGUAAACCGCUUUCGCCUGUGACGAAGCGGUAGUGACGGUAAUGGGUAAAGAAGCACCGGCUAACUACGUG
rnacentral:rRNA from 1 species